rnacentral:rRNA from 1 species
GCGGUAGCAGGGCUUCACCGUGUUUUCGCCUUUUCGGGCUUUUUAGCGGGAGUUUUGGUCGAGAACACAGUGAAGCUGCUGACGAGCGGCGGACGGCUGAGUAUUCCGUGGGAACAUACCCCAAACUGAGGAAUAACUACUCGAAAGAGUGGCUAAUACCGCAUGUGAUCUUCGGAUUAAAGGAUUUAUCCGGUUUGGGAAUGGCCUGCGUACGAUUAGAUAGUUGGUGAGGUAAAGGCUCACCAAGUCGACGAUCGUUAGAUGGUUUGAGAGGAUGAUCAUCCAGACUGGGACUGAGACACGGCCCAGACUCCUACGGGAGGCAGCAGUAGGGAAUCUUUCACAAUGGGCGAAAGCCUGAUGGAGCAACGCCGCGUGCAGGAUGAAUGUCUUCGGGUUGUAAACUGCUUUUAUAAGCGAGAAAUAUGAUGGUAACUUAUGAAUAAGGAUCGGCUAACUACGUGCCAGCAGCCGCGGUCAU